rnacentral:rRNA from 1 species
GACGAACGCUGGCGGCGUGCUUAACACAUGCAAGUCGUACGGUAAGGCCCUUUCGGGGGUACACGAGUGGCGAACGGGUGAGUAACACGUGAGUAACCUGCCCACAACUUUGGGAUAACGCUAGGAAACUGGUGCUAAUACUGGAUAUGUGCUCCUGCUGCAUGGUGGGGGUUGGAAAGCUCCGGCGGUUGUGGAUGGACUCGCGGCCUAUCAGCUUGUUGGUGGGGUAGUGGCCUACCAAGGCGGCGACGGGUAGCCGGCCUGAGUGGGUGACCGGCCACAUUGAGACUGAGGUACGGCCCAGACUCCUACGGGAGGCAGCAGUGGGGAAUAUUGCACAAUGGGCGCAAGCCUGAUGCAGCAACGCCGCGUGCGGGAUGACGGCCUUCGGGUUGUAAACCGCUUUCAGCAGGGACGAAGCUUUUUGUGACGGUACCUGCAGAAGAAGCACCGGCUAACUACGUG